UACGUAGGCAGCAAGCGUUGUUCGGAGUUACUGGGCGUAAAGGGUUCGUAGGUGGCCGACUAAGUCAGACGUGAAAUCCCUCAGCUCAACUGGGGAACUGCGUCUGAUACUGGUGGGCUUGAGUGCAGGAGAGGAACGCGGAAUUCCAGGUGUAGCGGUGAAAUGCGUAGAUAUCUGGAGGAACACCGGUGGCGAAGGCGGCGUUCUGGACUGCAACUGACACUGAGGAACGAAAGCCAGGGGAGCAAACGGG
rnacentral:rRNA from 1 species